rnacentral:rRNA from 1 species
CGACGAUGCGUAGGGGUUCUGAGAGGAAGGUCCCCCACACUGGUACUGAGACACGGACCAGACUCCUACGGGAGGCAGCAGUGAGGAAUAUUGGUCAAUGGGCGGGAGCCUGAACCAGCCAAGUCGCGUGAGGGAAGACGGUCCUAUGGAUUGUAAACCUCUUUAGGCGGGGAGCAAUGCCGGGCACGCGUGCCCGGAGGGAGAGUACCCGCAGAAUAAGCAUCGGCUAACUCCGUGCCAGCAGCCGCGGUAAUACGGAGGAUGCGAGCGUUAUCCGGAUUUAUUGGGUUUAAAGGGUGCGUAGGCGGAUUUUUAAGUCAGCGGUAAAAUGUCCGGGCUCAACCCGGGCCGGCCGUUGAAACUGGGGAUCUUGAGUGGGCGAGAAGUAUGCGGAAUGCGUGGUGUAGCGGUGAAAUGCAUAGAUAUCACGCAGAACUCCGAUUGCGAAGGCAGCAUACCGGCGCCCGACUGACGCUGAGGCACGAAAGCGUGGGGAUCGAACAGGAUUAGAUACCCUGGUAGUCCACGCAGUAAACGAUGAAUGCUAGUUGUCCGGUUCUUUGGGACUGG